GAUGAACGCUGGCGGCAUGCCUUACACAUGCAAGUCGAACGGCAGCACGGGGCAACCUGGUGGCGAGUGGCGAACGGGUGAGUAAUGCAUCGGAACGUGCCAUUGAGUGGGGGAUAACGUAGCGAAAGUUGCGCUAAUACCGCAUAUUCUGUGAGCAGGAAAGCAGGGGACCGCAAGGCCUUGCGCUCUUUGAGCGGCCGAUGUCAGAUUAGCUAGUUGGUGAGGUAACGGCUUACCAAGGCGACGAUCUGUAGCGGGUCUGAGAGGAUGAUCCGCCACACUGGAACUGAGACACGGUCCAGACUCCUACGGGAGGCAGCAGUGGGGAAUUUUGGACAAUGGGCGCAAGCCUGAUCCAGCCAUGCCGCGUGAGUGAAGAAGGCCUCGG
rnacentral:rRNA from 1 species